UAGUCUGGUGCCAGCAGCCGCGGUAAUUCCAGCUCCAAUAGCGUAUAUUAAAGUUGUUGCAGUUAAAACGCUCGUAGUCGGAUUUCGGGGCAGGUUUGCCGGUCUGCCGAUGGGUAUGCACUGGUAGAAGUGUCCUUCCUUCCGGAGACGGCGCCUACUCUUAACUGAGCGGGUGUCGGAGACGGAUCGUUUACUUUGAAAAAAUCAGAGUGUUUCAAGCAGGCAGCUCGCUUUUGCAUGGAUUAGCAUGGGAUAAUGAAAUAGGACUUUGGUGCUAUUUUGUUGGUUUCGAACACCGAAGUAAUGAUUAACAGGGACAGUCAGGGGCACUCGUAUUCCGCCGAGAGAGGUGAAAUUCUUAGACCAGCGGAAGACGAACCACUGCGAAAGCAUUUGCCAGGGAUGUUUUCACUGAUCAAGAACGAAAGUUAGGGGAUCGAAGACGAUCAGAUACCGUCGUAGUCUUAACCAUAAACCAUGCCGACUAGGGAUUGGAGGAUGUUCCUAUGUGACUCCUUCAGCACCUUUCGGGAAACUAAAGUCUUUGGGUUCCGGGGGGAGUAUGGUCGCAAGGCUGAAACUUAAAGGAAUUGACGGAAGGGCACCACCAGGAGUGGAGCCUGCGGCUUAAUUUGACUCAACACGGGGAAACUUACCAGGUCCAGACAUUGUGAGGAUUGACAGAUUGAGAGCUCUUUCUUGAUUCGAUGGGUGGUGGUGCAUGGCC
rnacentral:rRNA from 1 species